UCCACUGAGCCACACCAGCCUGGGCCUCUCUAGAAAUUAUUUUGAACAUUCUACACCACUUCCAUUUUAAGAUAAAUGAGAGUAAACUUCUCAAUAUCUUCUUUUAAAAAGCUGAAAUUUUUAUCAAAAUUGCACUGAUUCUAUAGAUCAGUGUGAAGAAAAAAAGGACAUUCUAACAACAGUGAGUUGUGCCAUUCGUGAACAUGAUAUAUCUUUCCAUUUAUUUAUGUCUUUAAUUUUUCUGAGAAAUGCUUUACAGUUGCAGUAUAAGGCCUUGCAUAUUUUUUGCUAAAUUUACUCCUUUGGUAAAAAGAUAUUUUGUAAAAUUUUAGUUUUUAAUUAUGUGUUACUAGUAUAAAAAUAUAAUUGAUUUUUGUACACUGACUUUCUAUCUUUUGACCAUGCUAAAUUCAAUUAUUAGUUCUAGUAACCUAAAUUCUUUGGGGUUUUCUAUGUAGAUUAUUGUAUCUUUUUGAAUGAAAUAUUUUAAAUUUUUUUCUACUAAUAAUUCUUCCUGAAAUUUUACUUCUUUUUAUUGCUUUAUUGCAUUGCCUAGGACCUCCAGUGGAAUGCUGAAUAGAAGGGGCAGGAAGGAACAUCCUGCCUUGUUUUCUAUCUCAGGGACAAAGCACUCAUACUUUCAUUAAGUAUGCUAGGUGUUGAAUUUUUGUAAAUGACCUUUAUUAGUAGUUGUGCAGUCUGCCUUUUAUUCAUAAUUUUGGGGAAUUUUUUUCAAAUGGAUAUUGAAUUCUGUUAAAUGCUUUUUCUUUAUCUACUGAGAUAAUCAUGUUUUUUUUUCGUUUUUAGUUGUUUGAUAAGGUACAUGAAAUUUUUUUCAAUCACAGGAAUGACAUGAUUAUAUUUGUAUUCUUGAAAGAUCAGUUAUCAUAAGUUACAAUUUAUUCUUUAGCAAUUGGUUAUAUCUAUAUCUCUUACUAGAUAUAACUGAUAUAUCUAGUUCUAUGUAAGUUCUAUGAAAACAAAUACCACGCCUGUUUUUGUCUCCAUUGUGUAUAUGAGACUGGAUAAGAGUACAAAAUAUUUAAUGAGUGAAUAAACAAAUGUGUAAGCAAAUGCAAGGAGAGCUGAAGCACUAUGAAGAAUCAGCAAGCAGAGAGCAAGACUAGAGGUAGGGAAAAUAAUUAAGAAGCUAUCAGAUUGAGAGUUGGUAUUUCCACAACUGAACAGAGUUCAGGGGCAAAUGAUCUAAUCUAAUUAGGGAAGAAAAAAACGUCAAACAAAAAUCUCCAAUUUUUUACAUACAUAAGAAUCCUAGAGAAACUUGGGUUGAUGUUACUCCAUAUCAGGGUCUGAAUUAUUGUUACGGCCACCUCAGAAAUGAAAGCCAAGAAAUUUGUUCUACUUUUUCUGGGUGAUCACAUACCCUUAAAUUAACCUAUGAUCUUCAUAUCUUUGGACUGAGAAUUUUAAAAGUAUAGCUAAGACUCCUUGGUCUUCUCCAAAUUAGAAUCUAUUUUCCAAGCUUAUAAAGGGGUUUCCAAACCAAAUCUGUGUGUGGGUUAGUCUCAUAUUCUAUAGUGGCAUAAAUAACUGCAAGAAGAAAGAUGGUCAGGAGAGGAGUGGAAAAGAUCAGCUCAAAAGUACAUUAACUGCAUAUUCCUACUAAUUUCUAGACUCUAGACUUCAGCCCACUAAGAGGGCAAACAAACUGGCCUUAGACAGGUUAGCAGAAUGGUAGAACUAAUCAGCAAAUAAAGCCAUACAAAAACUAGGCUGUAGGAAAGAAAUUCCUCAGCAAGAAAACAUUGCAAACUAAAACAGAGGAAAAAAGAAAAAAAAAGAAAACAGAGGAAAGAGAAAA